rnacentral:rRNA from 1 species
AGCAGCCGCGGUAAUUCCAGCUCCAAUAGCGUAUAUUAAAGUUGCUGCAGUUAAAAAGCUCGUAGUUGAAUUUCGGGAUUAAUAUGCUGGUCGUGCCAUUGGUACGUACUAGUAUUAUUGAUUUCUCCCUUCUGAUGAAUCAUGAUGUCAUUAAUUUGAUGUCAUGGGGAAUCAGGACUGUUACUUUGAAAAAAUUAGAGUGUUUAAAGCAGG